GAUCAACGCUGGCGGCGUGCCUAACGCAUGUAAGUCGUGCGGGCUGCCUUCGGGCAGCCAGCGGCGAACGGCUGAGGAACACGUACGAACCUGCCCGCGCGUGGGGAAUAACGCGCCGAAAGGCGUGCUAAUACCGCGUACGCUCCGCCCUCACGGGUGGAGGAAAGCCUUCGGGCGCGCGCGGAGGGGCGUGCGGCCCAUCAGGUAGUUGGUGCGGUAAUGGCGCACCAAGCCGUGACGGGUAGCUGGUCUGUGAGACGAUCAGCCAGACUGGGACU
rnacentral:rRNA from 1 species